AGUGAACGCUGGCGGUAGGCCUAACACAUGCAAGUCGAACGGCAGCACAGUAAGAGCUUGCUCUUACGGGUGGCGAGUGGCGGACGGGUGAGGAAUACAUCGGAAUCUACUUUUUCGUGGGGGAUAACGUAGGGAAACUUACGCUAAUACCGCAUACGACCUACGGGUGAAAGCAGGGGAACUUCGGACCUUGCGCGAUUGAAUGAGCCGAUGUCGGAUUAGCUAGUUGGCGGGGUAAAGGCCCACCAAGGCGACGAUCCGUAGCUGGUCUGAGAGGAUGAUCAGCCACCCUGUAACUGGGACACGGUCCAGACUCCUACGGGAGGCAGCAGUGGGGAAUUUUGGACAAUGGGCGCAAGCCUGAUCCAGCCAUACCGCGUGGGUGAAGAAGGCCUUCGGGUUGUAAAGCCCUUUUGUUGGGAAAGAAAAGCAGCAGGUUAAUACCCCGCUGUUCUGACGGUACCCAAAGAAUAAGCACCGGCUAACUUCGUG
rnacentral:rRNA from 1 species